rnacentral:rRNA from 1 species
UACGUAGGGUGCAAGCGUUAAUCGGAAUUACUGGGCGUAAAGCGUGCGCAGGCGGUUAUGCAAGACAGAUGUGAAAUCCCCGGGCUCAACCUGGGAACUGCAUCUGUGACUGCAUGGCUAGAGUACGGUAGAGGGGGAUGGAAUUCCGCGUGUAGCAGUGAAAUGCGUAGAUAUGCGGAGGAACACCGAUGGCGAAGGCAAUCCCCUGGACCUGUACUGACGCUCAUGCACGAAAGCGUGGGGAGCAAACAGG